rnacentral:rRNA from 1 species
GGGUUGUGAGGUUAAGCGAAUAAGCGUACACGGUGGAUGCCUAGGCAAUCAGAGGCGAUGAAGGACGUGCUAAUCUGCGAAAAGCGUCGGUAAGGUGAUAUGAACCGUUAUACCCGACGAUAUCCGAAUGGGGAAACCCAGUAUCCAAUGGAUACUAUCAUUAACUGAAUCCAUAGGUUAAUGAGGCGAACCGGGAGAACUGAAACAUCUCAGUACCCCGAGGAAAAGAAAUCAACCGAGAUUCCCCUAGUAGCGGCGAGCGAACGGGGAGCAGCCCAGAGUCUUAAUCAAUAGCAGUGUCAGGAGAACGGUCUGGAAAGUCCGGCAGUAAAGGGUGAUAGCCCCGUAUCUGAAGAUGCUGUUAUUGUGAACUCGACGAGUAGGGCGGGACACGUGUUAUCCUGUCUGAAUAUGGGGGGACCAUCCUCCAAGGCUAAAUACUCCUGAUUGACCGAUAGUGAACCAGUACCGUGAGGGAAAGGCGAAAAGAACCCCGGCGAGGGGAGUGAAAAGGGGCUCCUACUGCUUGUACGUACACGGUUUCAGGUUCAUCACUCAAGUGCCUCGCACUGAGUGAUGCAAGAACAUCACCGAAAAUAGCGCCGAAUUUGCUAACAAGGUUGGUCGAUUUUUUCAAGCCGUCGCGCAGUGUACCUAGAAGUACACGAGCAACGGAAGUUAAAAAAUCGGGCAAGAUUGAACGCAAAGGCAAGCGGGACAUUUGAGGAUGGGGUGACUGCGUACCUUUUGUAUAAUGGGUCAGCGACUUAUAUUCUGUAGCAAGGUUAACCGUAUAGGGGAGCCGUAGGGAAACCGAGUCUUAACUGGGCGAAUGAGUUGCAGGGUAUAGACCCGAAACCCGGUGAUCUAUCCAUGGGCAGGUUGAAGGUUGGGUAACACUAACUGGAGGACCGAACCGACUAAUGUUGAAAAAUUAGCGGAUGACUUGUGGAUGGGGGUGAAAGGCCAAUCAAACCGGGAGAUAGCUGGUUCUCCCCGAAAGCUAUUUAGGUAGCGCCUCGUGAACUCAUCUUCGGGGGUAGAGCACUGUUUCGACUAGGGGGUCAUCCCGACUUACCAACUCGAUGCAAACUGCGAAUACCGAAGAAUGUUAUCACGGGAGACACACGGCGGGUGCUAACGUCCGUCGUGAAGAGGGAAACAACCCAGACCGCCAGCUAAGGUCCCAAAGUCAUGGUUAAGUGGGAAACGAAGUGGGAAGGCUCAGACAGCCAGGAUGUUGGCUUAGAAGCAGCCAUCAUUUAAAGAAAGCGUAAUAGCUCACUGGUCGAGUCGGCCCGCGCGGAAGAUGUAACGGGGCUAAACCAUGCACCGAAGCUGCGGCAGCGAACUAUGUGGUUGUUGGGUAGGGGAGCGUUCUGUAAGCCUGCGAAGGUGUACUGUGAGGUAUGCUGGAGGUAUCAGAAGUGCGAAUGCUGACAUAAGUAACGAUAAUGCGGGUGAAAAACCCGCACGCCGGAAGACCAAGGGUUCCUGUCCAACGUUAAUCGGGGCAGGGUGAGUCGACCCCUAAGGCGAGGCUGAAAAGCGUAGUCGAUGGGAAACGGGUUAAUAUUCCCGUACUGGUGGUAACUGCGAUGGGGGAACGGAGAAGGCUAGGUUGUCCGGGCGACGGUCGUCCCGGUUCAAGCAGGUAGGCAGAGUGAUUAGGCAAAUCCGGUCACUUAAUGCUGAGAUGUGAUGACGAACCACCAAGGUGGUGAAGCAAUUGAUGCCCCGCUUCCAGGAAAAGCCUCUAAGCUUCAGGUUACCAACAAUCGUACCCCAAACCGACACAGGUGGUCAGGUAGAGAAUACUCAGGCGCUUGAGAGAACUCGGGUGAAGGAACUAGGCAAAAUGGUGCCGUAACUUCGGGAGAAGGCACGCUGGCGGUAGGUAAAGUCCCUCGCGGACGGCGCUGAAGCCAGUCGAAGAUACCAGCUGGCUGCAACUGUUUAUUAAAAACACAGCACUGUGCAAACACGAAAGUGGACGUAUACGGUGUGACGCCUGCCCGGUGCUGGAAGGUUAAUUGAUGGGGUCAGCCGUAAGGCGAAGCUCCUGAUCGAAGCCCCAGUAAACGGCGGCCGUAACUAUAACGGUCCUAAGGUAGCGAAAUUCCUUGUCGGGUAAGUUCCGACCUGCACGAAUGGCGUAAUGAUGGCCAGGCUGUCUCCACCCGAGACUCAGUGAAAUUGAACUCGCUGUGAAGAUGCAGUGUACCCGCGGCAAGACGGAAAGACCCCGUGAACCUUUACUAUAGCUUGACACUGAACAUUGAGCCUUGAUGUGUAGGAUAGGUGGGAGGCUUUGAAGUGUGGACGCCAGUCUGCAUGGAGCCAACCUUGAAAUACCACCCUUUAACGUUUGAUGUUCUAACCUAGGCCCAUAAACUGGGUCGGGGACCGUGUCUGGUGGGUAGUUUGACUGGGGCGGUCUCCUCCUAAAGAGUAACGGAGGAGCACGAAGGUUGGCUAAGCAUGGUCGGACAUCAUGCGGUUAGUGCAAAGGCAUAAGCCAGCUUGACUGCGAGAGUGACGGCUCGAGCAGGUACGAAAGUAGGUCUUAGUGAUCCGGUGGUUCUGAAUGGAAGGGCCAUCGCUCAACGGAUAAAAGGUACUCCGGGGAUAACAGGCUGAUACCGCCCAAGAGUUCAUAUCGACGGCGGUGUUUGGCACCUCGAUGUCGGCUCAUCACAUCCUGGGGCUGAAGUAGGUCCCAAGGGUAUGGCUGUUCGCCAUUUAAAGUGGUACGCGAGCUGGGUUUAGAACGUCGUGAGACAGUUCGGUCCCUAUCUGCCGUGGGCGUUGGAAGAUUGAGAGGGGUUGCUCCUAGUACGAGAGGACCGGAGUGAACGCACCACUGGUGUUCGGGUUGUCAUGCCAAUGGCAUUGCCCGGUAGCUAAGUGCGGAAGAGAUAACCGCUGAAAGCAUCUAAGCGGGAAACUUGCCUCGAGAUGAGUCUUCCCUGUCACUUUAAGUGACCUAAAGGAACGUUUAAGACUAAGACGUUGAUAGGCUGGGUGUGUAAGCGUAGCGAUACGUUGAGCUAACCAGUACUAAUGAACCGUGAGGCUUAACCUGACAACACCGAAAGUGUUUUG